GAAACUUUAAAACCCACUUUUGAAGGGUAAAAUAACAAGAAAGAGGAAGGAAAGAAUAAAGGAAGGAAGGAAGAAGAGAAGGAAGGAAGAACACAACAUUUUCUGCUUUUUGGCUGGGGAGAGGACAUUUGAAGUACCAUGAAGCCAAGUUUGUGACAGUGACAAACUUAAAGAGGUUACAAUUUUGAAAUAUGAUUGCCAUGAGUUGGUGGGGGCAGCAGUCAUCUGAAGGCUCAACUGGGCUGGACAUGCAAGAUGGUGCCCUCAGGUGCUGGAAAUUGGUGCUAGAUGUUGACUGAGACUUUAGCUGGGACAUCAAACAGAGAGCCUACAUGUGAUCUCUCCAUAUGGCCUGGGAUCCUACAUAGCAUGACUUCCUGGGGGCGUCAGACUCCUUACACUGGUCGAGAGUCCAAGGAAGCCAACUGGGAGCUGAAUUGUACUUCUGCUGCAUUUAAUUGGAUAUGAACAAGUAAUAAAGAGCAGCCCAACAUCAAGGGGAGACAGACCCUACCUCUCCAGGGAAGGAAUGUCAAAGAAUUAGCGGGCAUGUUGUGAAGUUGCCAUAUGAGGGAAAGAAAAAUAUUAUUUUUCUGUCUGUAUAGUCUCCAAAAUAAAUUAAUAAAAGGGACAAUAUUGAAAAUAUUGACCUGAGAAAGUCCCGAAUGAUCAUGAAGCAAGCACUUCCUAACUGUCCCCAAAACCAACCCUGUGUAAGAAUUUAGCCCACUUCUAGCUGGGGGUGGUGGCUCACACCUGUAAUCCCAGCACUCUGAGGCAGGCUCACCUGA
rnacentral:lncRNA from 1 species